rnacentral:rRNA from 1 species
GAUGAACGCUGGCGGCGUGCCUAAUACAUGCAAGUCGAGCGAACGGACGAGAAGCUUGCUUCUCUGAUGUUAGCGGCGGACGGGUGAGUAACACGUGGAUAACCUACCUAUAAGACUGGGAUAACUUCGGGAAACCGGAGCUAAUACCGGAUAAUAUUUUGAACCGCAUGGUUCAAAAGUAAAAGACGGUCUUGCUGUCACUUAUAGAUGGAUCCGCGCUGCAUUAGCUAGUUGGUAAGGUAACGGCUUACCAGGGCAACGAUGCAUAGCCGACCUGAGAGGGUGAUCGGCCACACUGGAACUGAGACACGGUCCAGACUCCUACGGGAGGCAGCAGUAGGGAAUCUUCCGCAAUGGGCGAAAGCCUGACGGAGCAACGCCGCGUGAGUGAUGAAGGUCUUCGGAUCGUAAAACUCUGUUAUUAGGGAAGAACAUAUGUGUAAGUAACUGUGCACAUCUUGACGGUACCUAAGCAGAAAGCCACGGCUAACUACGU